GCCUGGGUGGCUCAGUCGGUUAAGCUUCUGACUUCGGCUCAGGUCAUGAUCUCGCAGUUUGUGGGUUCGAGCCCCACGUUGGGCU
rnacentral:tRNA from 1 species